AUUGAACGCUGGCGGCAUGCCUUACACAUGCAAGUCGAACGGCAGCACGGGAGCAAUCCUGGUGGCGAGUGGCGAACGGGUGAGUAAAGUAUCGGAACGUGCCCAGUCGUGGGGGAUAACGUAGCGAAAGUUACGCUAAUACCGCAUACGAUCUAUGGAUGAAAGCGGGGGAUCGCAAGACCUCGCGCGAUUGGAGCGGCCGAUAUCAGAUUAGGUAGUUGGUGGGGUAAAGGCUCACCAAGCCGACGAUCUGGAGCUGGGCUGAGAGGACGACCAGCCACACUGGGACUGAGACAGGGCCCAGACGCCUGCGGGAGGCAGCAGUGGGGAAUUUUGGACAAUGGGCGAAAGCCUGAUCCAGCCAUGCCGCGUGCAGGAUGAAGGCCUUCGGGUUGUAAACUGCUUUUGUACGGAACGAAAAGGUUUGGCCUAAUAAGCUGAGCUCAUGACGGUACCGUAAGAAUAAGCACCGGCUAACUACGUGCCAGCAGCCGCGGUAA
rnacentral:rRNA from 1 species